AAAAAAUCAAUGGUGGUCGUGGGGGAGGGAGUGUACGGGCGGUGGCAAACUCGCCUUUUGCAGACGACGAGGCUCGCCGGAGGAGCAACACAUAUAACCGAAAGGGAUGGCGGGUGCUUGGGAAAGGAGAUGGGAGGUGCUACGUCGGUGAGAAAAGAGAGGAAUGCUGGAGGAGAGGGAUAAGGCACGUGGGCCCAUAGCGAAGCACGGUGCAUGGGUCACGAACGGUUCCCUUUUUGUCUGCUCAAUGGGAGUUCAUUUUUUGUUUUAAUGGUUUUUUGUGCACAUAAUUUGAGCAUCAAUAUUAACCAGUUAUUAGUUUUAUUUUCUUGUGUUUUUUUGCAAACGGCGGCAUACAACAAUAGUUUAUAUAGCAGGGGUGAUGCGGGUGAUCAUAACUGUUGCUAUUAACUGGUUCUCUCUUACAUUGAUUGCAUUCGCCAUUUGAAUUUAUAGUACAUGCAUUGUGUUCUGGUGCGUAUAUAUUUUGGUUCAGGUUUGUUACUACAAAUUAUUCAAAUUGUUAUCUACCCUGAAGCUGGGUAUGUGAGCUCAUCUUACAAAGCUAUCAAAGUCAAUUCACAUGUUUGUUUGUUAUCACUCCAUGGGCGAUCCCUAAUCCUUACCUCCACCUUGUCGUUGACAUUGUGCACUACCAUGGCAGAUGUUUCUUUUGUGCAUGGAUUUCCAAGCACUCCGACUGUCAUCACCGCACGUAUGAUCCCUAAUCCUUACAUGCAUCUUGUAGAUGAUGUAUUUGUGUAGAGGAUUUUACUUGGCAUGUAGCAGGUUUGGAUGUUGUUGUUUUCUGUCAAAACAAAAUCAUGUUUGUUGAUACAUUUUUCUGGCUGACCCGUAAUGUGUUCCGGUAUUGUUUUCAUUUUGGGAAAUGAUUAUGCUAAAGGAAGAAAUGAUUUAGAUCCUUUUUAUGUUGCUAAAACCCUAUAGCUUGCUUUUAUGUAGUAGUCCCUCGAUGAUCUUAGUACAAUCUUUGUUGUAGAAAGGAGCACUACACUAUGAGUAUGCCCUUUGUUAGCUAUGAUUUGCCCAUUUCUGUAACACUAGCUUAUAGAAGGAUGAAUGGUGGCAAGUAGGAUUAUCUCAGUAGUCAAUAGUCAGCACCACUAUCUGAGAUUGCACAUUUAGGACCAUGGUGGCACAAAGAAAAAGAAGCUUGGUCUAGAACAAAUUGCCAAAUGCUAGGAUCAAGAUUUCUUUUCUACGACAUGUCCGUCUCGGGAAAGUUGUUGUCGAGAACUCAAUUGAUGUGUUCCUUUUUUUUCAAGAAACUUGAUAUAGAACUUAUCUUAUCUUCAGUUAAGUAGGUGUUCAUUUGCGUGUUGCCUCAUACAUGUUCUUAGUGACUUGUUUUAUUCAACAUGGAUUGGUAUCCUCACUUGAAAUAUGUUACAAGUGAUGCAUAAGUUUUAUUUUUUAGAAGUGAUGACAAGAUAAACAGCUGGAGUGUGACAUGUUUGAAGAAAUGCCACCAAAGACUUUGUAAUCAACUAGGAUCUGGUUUGAUUUCUACUCAUGGGUGGGCACCUAAUUAUUAGCCAUGAGAGGCCACACUGAUCAUCAAGGUAAAAACUGUCUCGUAGUCUUUCCUAUUGUUUCAUUUGCAUGCUGGUUUGGUAAGCUUAGCAUGUUGGUUGCUACCCACUGUUCCCAUCGAUCAAAGGGAUACCCCACCGAUUUUUUUGUCCUUCCUACCGGUUUUACUAUUUUUUAUAUUCCCGAUUCUGCCACGCACCGCACGAGCCUCCCUCCCUCCCUCUCUCUUCAGUAGUCAAUUCAGAAUGAGGUUGACUAGGGUUUCUGUAUUGAACUGCCUACACCAGGCUGCACACCUACCUAUGACUGUCACCCUUAUGCCACCAUGGCGAGCGACCCCGAGCCCCGACAGAGACGUGUGCCCGCUCUGCGGUAGCGGAGAGUACGGGGAGGGAAGGAGGAGGUGGAGGAGGCGAGAAGUUGUGACGUCACGCUCUCCACCAAUGCUUUCAAGUCAUCCGCCCUGCACCAAGGCACUCAUCUCCCUGCUUGAUUCCACUCCUCCACAUUCGGUCCUUCAGUUGUCGACGUGUUGCUGGAGGCUCCUCGAAGGCGGUGACCGGCGAGUUCUUGAUUGGCAGCCGCAACACACCGUACGCAGUGCUCGCCAAAGCUAAGGAACUAGAGAAGAUCCGCUAUAAUAUGUGACCAUGUCAUAUUAAGGAUAAGCAGUUGGUCAAUAUACUUUCUGCUCGUGAGGAGCUACAUAUUACCGAAGGUUUCAGAUACCAAUGGAGGAGCCAAACACUGUAUGAGCUUCGGCAAACGGAACCUGCCUACAAUGCGGUCGCAUGGGGGUAGCGGGUCAAUGGGCGGUCGUGUCGUGUGAGUUGGUCAAGUCUGAGGUCGCGAGCUGAUAGAUCCACGGCCGUCAACUGCAUCUUCAACCUCCGGAUGAUUAGUGAUAUUUGAUUGUGUUAAGAGGAUUAGUGAUAGAGAAAAUCAUUAGGAUAAUAAAAAGUGUUAGGCUAUUCCUCUUUGUAUAUGUGAUUAUAAUGUUGAGGUAUGAGGGUUCAUAACUAUCAGCUCUCACUCAAUGUUAAAAUAAGAAAAAUAAGAGAACUAUAACACUGCAAAUUGUUUGGAGAAA